UUCGGAUUGCAGGCUGCAACUCGCCUGAAUGAAGUUGGAAUUGCUAGUAAUCGCGGAUCAGCAUGCCGCGGUGAAUACGUUCCCGGGCCUUGUACACACCGCCCGUCACACCAUGGGAGCCGGUAAUACCCGAAGUCAGUAGCCUAACCGCAAGGGGGGCGCUGCCGAAGGUAGGAUUGGCGACUGGGGUGAAGUCGUAACAAGGUAUC
rnacentral:rRNA from 1 species